rnacentral:lncRNA from 12 species
GUGAAAUUAUUUUAGCCAUCUUCCAAAGAGAGCUAAAUGUAAGCUGCUUCAACACUUGUUUUAGGGUCUCUCUUACAGCUGUUCUGGUAUGAUAGAGAAGAUUCUGGUUUUCUGAAUGUCAAUAAACAUCAGCUGCAUAUCCUAUCUCAGUCAAAUCCAACUUUCAUAUUGAAUUUGUUAUAGAUAACUAUUCUUAAAAACUAUUUUUAAAUAUACCUGCUUGAAGCAGUUCUAAUCUUUAUAAAAUCUUCAUUUUUAAACUAUUCAGUGGACCACAUAUGACUAGUACGUGGAUACAAAAAAUAACAAUGCAGCUUAAAAUGUAUUCCUAUGAGCAGAAAAGCUGUUGGUGAUUUCUCUGGACAAAUGGCACACACCUGAGAUGAUGCCUCGCCACUUUGUUGUCACUGUGUGGCCCUUGAAACAUAAGCAAGAGAUUCUGGCUCUCUCUUCUGAGUAUAGAACAAUUACUUUAUUAUCAGUGGAAGACACUGAGAGUGUAACCUGAUUUUCAAUUAAGAAAUGAGUGCAUCCUUCACUAUUCCUGUGUUGGUUUAGAACGUGAAAAAUAAACUCUGCACAAAGCAUAUCA